rnacentral:lncRNA from 1 species
AGGUUCCCAAGAGCUGUGACCAAACAGCACACCCACCUGUGGGACUGCUGGCACAAAGUAGCCACCCGCUGCAGGCUGGAACUGAUUUAAGAUGGCAUUGGCAGGAAGUGCUCUCAUUCCAGCCACUCGUUGCAUAUACUGGUUGGUCAGUGAUAUCUGUAGAUCAACCACUGCACACACAGACAUUAUAAAGAUAACCCAUCCUCUGGCAUACUGAAUGACACAAAGGACAAAAAUUAUUUUGGCUUGUAAUAGCCAAGACUUAUUGUCUCUUCUUCUCCCCAUAUGGCUUUGAUUUGUCCAGGUUCUUGAUGAAGACGUUUCCCACACCAGAUUUUCUCAAAGAGGGAUCCCUCUGAGACCACAUGAUGCGGAUUGGCUUUCCCUUAAUCACAUCAAAGUUCAUGGUGUCCAAAGCCCGCUCAGCUGUAAGAGAGAAACACAUUUCAAUAAGGAGAGAAAACGUCAGCUCCCACAGGCCAACAGCCUAAGAACAGAUUACUCCAGGACUUUUCAAGUGAGGUAUUGCAUCAAAGUUAUCAAGUCAUUUAGUCUGCAAUCCACCUAUGGAGACAAGUGACAAAACCUGUAAAGCAAAUGAUCUGGAAAAAAAAAAAAAGGUGCUAUCCCUGAAUUCAGAA